UAGGGGACAGACUGUAGGGCAUUGGGGAUAGGCUGUAGGGUGUAGGGGACAGACUGUAGGGCAUGGGGAUAGGCUGUAGGGUGUAGGGGACAGACUGUAGGGCAUUGGGGAUAGGCUGUAGGGUGUAGGGGACAGACUGUUGGGCACGGUGGAUAGGCUGUAGGGUGUAGGGGACAGACUGUAGGGCAUGAGGAUAGGCUGUAGGAUGUAGGGGAUAGGCUGCAGAGCAUAAGGUGUAGGGCAUAGGGUUUGGAAAGUCGGCUGUAGGGUGUCGGGGAUAGGUUGUAGGGUUUAGGGAAUAGGCUGUAGGGUGUAGUGGAUGGGGAUAAAGGAUGCGGUAGAGGACAAGGGGGGUAAAGGUAUAAGGUCUAGGGGAUUAUGGAUAGGGUGGAGGGGACAAAGAGUAAGGAUAAGGACGGUGUGUGUGUGUGUGUGUGUGUGUGUGUGUGUGUGUGUGUGUCAGGACAUUAUUGAUGGUGCUUUUAGCAAUAAUGAUUUUACAUGAUUGUUUAUAUGAUAUAAAGUAUGUAAUACAGUGGUAUGUAUAUGUUAUAUUUGUGUAUCUUAUUCUGUGUGUGUGUGUGUGCGUGUGUGUGUGUGUGUGUGCGCGCGUGCUAAUGAUUUGUCCUGUUUACUCUGGGCUCGGUGCAGCGAUACACACGCAGGAGGAAAUGGAUUCUAACCCAUCUCACUGAUCUCUUAUAUUAAACAGCUCAGCUUUCACUUAAAGUAAAUCUAGAUCCUCGUGUGUGUGUGUGUGUGUGUGUGUGUGUGUGUGUGUGUGUGUGUCUCAAGAGCCUCUGCAUUAUCGGCUCAUCGCUUUCUCAGAGUACUCUGGGUAAACAGAGGCCUUGUUUUUGUGUGUGUGUGUGUGUGUGUGUGUGUGUGUGUGUAAGUAACAUUGGGACUGUAGCAGUGGAUUAGAGGAUUAGACUAUAAUCCUGUUAUAAACACUAAAUCACACUUUGUGUCUGUGAACUCUGCAUUAUUUACUCUACUGCUUAAAUACAGUAAUGAUACACUCUUCCUUUUCUUCACCUCCCUUUCCUUUCCUUUCCAUCUAUCACUUUAUCUAUCGCUCUAUCUAUCGGUUUCAUUUCUUAUUCUUCAUUUCUCUCCUUACAUUUCUCUUCUGCUUUGUUUGUUUUUCUUUCUCCUCCGACUCUCUCUCUCUUUUCUUAUAUUAUUCAUCAUUCAUUUUUUGUUUUCCUUUUUUAUUUCUCACAUAUUUAUUUAUUUAAAGCCUUUCCUGUAUUUUCUGUUUAUCUCUUCAUGAAUCCCCCGCUUUAAUUCCUCCUCCUUGUUUGAUUUCUGUCAUUCAUUUGUUCAUUUUUAAAAAAUAGUUUUUCAAAUUUUGAUAUUUUUUCCCCCGCCGUACGCUUUCAUCUUCAGUUUCUUUCUCGGUGUUCCCUGAUGUUUUGCUUCCCUACAGUUCUUUCUUUCUUUUCCUUUCUUUCCUUCGUUCCAUCUUACUUUCAUUCCAUCCUUCCUUCCCUCCAAUCCAAUUAUCCUAUUAUGAACGCUCCCCUUUUGUAUUCCUCCUUUUUCUUCUCUCUCUCUCUCAUUAUUUUUUCUUACUUUGCUGUAGCUUCCUUUCUUCCUUUCCUUCUGUUUCUAUUUAUUCCCACCCUUCCUUUCUUGUCAUUCCCUUAAUUGUUUGCUUCCUUCUUUGUUCUUUCUUUGUUUCUUGCUUCUUCUCAUGUUCCUUUCUGUACAUCUCCCCCUGUUAUUCUGUUCUUUUGCACACGUUUUGUACGUGUGAACGCCGCGCGUGUGCGUGUGAGAGGAGGCGACUCGUCUCCUCUUUAUUAGGGAUUAACAGAUUGACGUCGUUCCUGUCGUUUAUCAUUCUCUCUGAUGCGAGUCCUCCUCUAACACACUCUGACCUGUGAAAGCCAUAAAUGGGUUUAUAAGGUUUCUCACACACACACCUACACACACACAUACACACACGCGCACACACACACCUACACACAUACACACACACACACACACACAGGAAAAUGCUUAAAGCAUUACAGUAUGUCAUAACAGAAAGAUCAGCCAGCGGCUAUUUAUGUUAGCUUCAUAACGAGCGCCAUUAAUGGCUGGCUUUAGCCGUAAACACUCGAGAGGGACGUACAAACAUCCCGGAGAGAGAGAGAAAGGGCGCGACAGAGAGAGAAAGAGAAAGAGAGAGAGAGAGAGAGAGCAGCUGUCUUUAUGCUAGUCAUCUCAUUUUUCCUCUUCAUCCACCUGGAGACUUGAGAAGUAAACAUGGAUUAUCGUGUAGACAUUAGCUAGCGUGCUAACUCCUACUGUGUGUGUACGUUUGUGUGUCUGUGGAUCGUCAAGCGAGUUAGCAAGCGAGUGUGUGUGUGUGUGUGUGUGUGUGGGUGUGUGUGUGUGGAUCAUCAUAUAUUUGCAUGCAAACACUCAUUUUGUGUGAUUACCAGACAGCGUGUUAGCUACCACAAAUCUCUGGAAUACUUUGUGUGUGUGUGGGGGGGGGGGGGGGGGGGGGGAUUAAACUAUGCGGUAAUGAAAACACAGCACAAUGUGUGUGUGAGUAUAUACAGCACGGUGGCAGGAAACAGAAACAGA
ensembl:lncRNA